rnacentral:rRNA from 1 species
GAUGAACGCUGGCGGCGUGCCUAAUACAUGCAAGUCGAGCGAACAGACGAGGAGCUUGCUCCUCUGACGUUAGCGGCGGACGGGUGAGUAACACGUGGAUAACCUACCUAUAAGACUGGGAUAACUUCGGGAAACCGGAGCUAAUACCGGAUAAUAUAUUGAACCGCAUGGUUCAAUAGUGAAAGACGGUUUUGCUGUCACUUAUAGAUGGAUCCGCGCCGCAUUAGCUAGUUGGUAAGGUAACGGCUUACCAAGGCAACGAUGCGUAGCCGACCUGAGAGGGUGAUCGGCCACACUGGAACUGAGACACGGUCCAGACUCCUACGGGAGGCAGCAGUAGGGAAUCUUCCGCAAUGGGCGAAAGCCUGACGGAGCAACGCCGCGUGAGUGAUGAAGGUCUUCGGAUCGUAAAACUCUGUUAUUAGGGAAGAACAAAUGUGUAAGUAACAAUGCACGUCUUGACGGUACCUAAUCAGAAAGCCACGGCUAACUACGU